rnacentral:rRNA from 1 species
CAACGCCGGGAAACUCACCAGAUAAGACAGCUGAAUGAUAGUCGGGCUGAAGACUCUACUUGACUAGCUGAGAGGAGGUGCAUGGCCGUCGUCAGUUCGUACUGUGAAGCAUCCUGUUAAGUCAGGCAACGAGCGAGACCCACGCCAACAGUUGCCAGCUCGUCCUCCGGGAUGGUGGGGACACUGUUGGGACCGCCUCUGCUAAAGAGGAGGAAGGAAUGGGCAACGGUAGGUCAGCAUGCCCCGAAUUAUCUGGGCUACACGCGGGCUACAAUGGUUGGUACAAUGGGUAUCUACCCCGAAAGGGGACGGGAAUCUCCUAAAACCAAUCUUAGUUCGGAUUGAGGGCUGCAACUCGCCCUCAUGAAGCUGGAAUCCGUAGUAAUCGCGUUUCAACAGAACGCGGUGAAUACGUCCCUGCUCCUU